UCCCGCCGCAACGCGCGGGAAUGACGCUAGUACAUAUAUAAUUACAGAGUCCUGAAGUGUUUUGGAGCUGUCCACGUCAGCUUCUAUGAGCAACAUACUGUUGCUACUUUGGAAAUUGUUUUUGAUUAAAUGAAAUUUUCUUUGCUUUUAAUUAAAUGAAAGUAACUGCGAACUUUAAAUGCUUUGAUUUGCCUCUUCGGUUCUCAUCUCUCGCGCUCCUCCAGUGCCUUCUCUCUCAUAUUCACCUCAUUCAUCGUAUGUUCUCUUGCACGCCUCUUCGUAUGGCCCGUUCAUGCAUCUCUCACGAUUCACGGCAGUUGUUCUUGGAAAGCCAAAAAUUAGCCCAUUAAUUUUCUCUUCUAUGCGGUAGCUACGUGUAUUUCCUCUGGGUUCACAGAACCUUAGAUUUCUUAUCUCAGUUUCUCUUCUCUUUCAUUCUCACAUCUUGCGAUCAAAUUCCCACAGGAGGUUGUAUUUUAAAAUGCGAAUUUUUCCUGAUUUUCGUUUUCCUCUUACCUCUUUGUUUUACUUCCAUCCUUUAUGAAGCAGCUUGAUUUUGCAACGGGUCCUUUUGUUUCGAAGCUAUGGGUUUUGCUAGCCGAUUCGCAUCAGGAGCUGCUUCAGUUGGAAGAAUGUGUCAAGCUAUUAGAGGAUGUGUACCCUCAAAGGGAAGCAGUAAUGGCUUGAACUUUAAUAUGUGCGGAGCAUUAUUUUGCAAUUUUUCCUUGGGUAAUAAUUUUUGUGUAUGAAUUCACCAGGCAGGGACUUCUUAGGCUUUUUGAUGGUGCCUGGUACCUAGCAAGAUCUGUGUUGGGAAUCUCAGGUUAAGUCCAGUCAUUGGCCACCUAAAGAAAAUGCUUCGAAGAGACAUAAGCUGAUGAACAGAAUCAGAAUGCUACUUAAGAAUUUAUGAAGCAAUUUGGUGAAUGUGGAGAAAAAGGUGAUAGGAUGACAGGUGGGUGAUCAGAGCUGAUCUCUACAGCAUGAAGUGUUCGUGUUGCAGGAGCUCUAUUCGAUCAAAGAUAUGACCAGAGUGUUGGAUAUGGUUUUGUAAAGUAUAGAGAAAGACAUGCUUCUAAGAUUCCUGCACUAUUCUUCUACAAAAGCUCAAUUGAAAUAUUGGAGGGGGGCAUAAGGGCUCUUUCUAACAAAGGCAAAAUUCAAAGGUGACAUUUGUGCUAUUGACUCUCACUAUUUGCUGUUCAAUACUUUAUCAAAUCCCAAUCUCUACGGUCAUAUGACUUCUUUGACAUAUUCUAAUUAGCUUAUUCAAUUAGUAAACUAUAUUUUCCAGCCAAAUUAUUCUGUACGUAGUUAAGAUUUUGCAUUAUAUUUAAAUGGCUUGAGGUAUCUGACAAAAACAGUGUAAAUAAAAUGAAUUUAGUACAAUACUUAAAGUGCAUGUGGUUACCUCAAGGGAACUUGGGUCUGGUACUUUGUCACUAUUCCCAAAUUGACAUAUUACAGAUACCCAGAGGUAAACCUCUUGGAAAAUCCUUUUAUUUUAUGAUUCAGAGGAGCCUUUAAAAGCUUCAUAUCAUUGAUGGUUUUGUUGAUGGAAUACAUUCAGUGUCUUAGACUAUGGCUGAUUUAUCAUUGAUGGUUUAGUUGGGUGUACCAUAAAUUUGAACUGAUGGUUUCUUUUAUGUGAGAUUAAAAUGUUCCAAAUUUGUUUG